GAUGACUUCGCCUCGCCGGUCUCCUAUGCGAGACGCGGAGAAUUCGACCACGCCGCUGUCUCCGCCGGCAAAGACACCGUCGAGACCCCAAACUCCGGCGCGAGAAGACAGACCCGUGGCCUCCCCUCUCCGAUCGCUGGUGUCUUCGCCGGCGAAGACACCGUCGAGACCCCAAACCCCGGCGCGAGAAGACGGGCCCGUGGCCUACCCUCUCCGAUCGCCGCUGCGGCGCGCCGAGCUCCCGACCCCGCCGCGCACGCCCCCGGACGAACCAGCGCCGCCUCCGGCGGUCACGAUCGCGAACCGGCUGACCCGGGACGGCGUCUCCCCGGCCGAGAAGGAAAUUAGCGAGGGCGGCG
rnacentral:lncRNA from 1 species